rfam:Triticum aestivum genome assembly, contig: Triticum_aestivum_CS42_TGACv1_scaffold_129300_2BL
GCCAUGAAGAGGAAGAAAGAGAGAGCUCAAGAGCACUGGGAAUGGGAACAUGGAGGAAAGACCUUAUUUUUUAUUUGCACCUCUAGUGUUGGGGCUGCAGAUAUUUCAUAUGGAUUCUUUCCUGAUGCCUCCCAUUCCUACUGUUCUUGUGCACUCCUUCCUCUUCCUUUUGGUU